AUUGAACGCUGGCGGUAUGCUUUACACAUGCAAGUCGAACGGCAGCAUGGGUGCUUGCACCUGAUGGCGAGUGGCGAACGGGUGAGUAACAUAUCGGAACAUAUCCGGAAGUGGGGGAUAACUAGUCGAAAGAUUAGCUAAUACCGCAUAUGCCCUGAGGGGGAAAGGGGGGAUCGCAAGACCUCUCGCUUUCGGAGUGGCCGAUAUCAGAUUAGCUAGUUGGUGGGGUAAAGGCCCACCAAGGCGACGAUCUGUAGCUGGUCUGAGAGGACGACCAGCCACACUGGAACUGAGACACGGUCCAGACUCCUACGGGUGGCUG
rnacentral:rRNA from 1 species